UGGGGAAUAUUGGGCAAUGGGCGAAAGCCUGACCCAGCAACGCCGCGUGAGGGAAGAAGGUUUUCGGAUCGUAAACCUCUGUCCUUAGUGAAGAGAAAUGACGGUACCCAAGGAGGAAGCCCCGGCUAACUACGUGCCAGCAGCCGCGGUAAUACGUAGGGGGCGAGCGUUGUCCGGAAUGAUUGGGCGUAAAGGGCGCGUAGGCGGCCUGUUAAGUCUGGAGUGAAAUUCCUGCUUUCAAGGUAGGAAGUGCUUUGGAAACUGGCGGGCUGGAGUGCAGGAGAGGUUAGCGGAAUUCCCGGUGUAGCGGUGAAAUGCGUAGAGAUCGGGAGGAACACCAGUGGCGAAGGCGGCUAACUGGACUGUAACUGACACUGAAGCGCGAAAGUGUGGGGAGCAAACAGG
rnacentral:rRNA from 2 species